rnacentral:rRNA from 1 species
AUUGAACGCUGGCGGCAGGCCUAAUACAUGCAAGUCGAGCGGAUGAAGGGAGCUUGCUCCUGGAUUCAGCGGCGGACGGGUGAGUAAUGCCUAGGAAUCUGCCUGGUAGUGGGGGGUAACGUCCGGAAACGGGCGCUAAUACCGCAUACGUCCUGAGGGAGAAAGUGGGGGAUCUUCGGACCUCACGCUAUCAGAUGAGCCUAGGUCGGAUUAGCUAGUUGGUGGGGUAAAGGCCUACCAAGGCGACGAUCCGUAACUGGUCUGAGAGGAUGAUCAGUCACACUGGAACUGAGACACGGUCCAGACUCCUACGGGAGGCAGCAGUGGGGAAUAUUGGACAAUGGGCGAAAGCCUGAUCCAGCCAUGCCGCGUGUGUGAAGAAGGUCUUCGGAUUGUAAAGCACUUUAAGUUGGGAGGAAGGGCAGUAAGUUAAUACCUUGCUGUUUUGACGUUACCAACAGAAUAAGCACCGGCUAACUUCGUG